rnacentral:rRNA from 1 species
AGCGUACACGGUGGAUGCCCUGGCAGUCAGAGGCGAUGAAGGACGUGCUAAUCUGCGAUAAGCGUCGGUAAGGUGAUAUGAACCGUUAUAACCGGCGAUUUCCGAAUGGGGAAACCCAGUGUGUUUCGACACACUAUCAUUAACUGAAUCCAUAGGUUAAUGAGGCGAACCGGGGGAACUGAAACAUCUAAGUACCCCGAGGAAAAGAAAUCAACCGAGAUUCCCCCAGUAGCGGCGAGCGAACGGGGAGCAGCCCAGAGCCUGAAUCAGUGUGUGUGUUAGUGGAAGCGUCUGGAAAGGCGCGCGAUACAGGGUGACAGCCCCGUACACAAAAAUGCACAUGCUGUGAGCUCGAUGAGUAGGGCGGGACACGUGGUAUCCUGUCUGAAUAUGGGGGGACCAUCCUCCAAGGCUAAAUACUCCUGACUGACCGAUAGUGAACCAGUACCGUGAGGGAAAGGCGAAAAGAACCCCGGCGAGGGGAGUGAAAAAGAACCUGAAACCGUGUACGUACAAGCAGUGGGAGCACGCUUAGGCGUGUGACUGCGUACCUUUUGUAUAAUGGGUCAGCGACUUAUAUUCUGUAGCAAGGUUAACCGAAUAGGGGAGCCGAAGGGAAACCGAGUCUUAACUGGGCGUUAAGUUGCAGGGUAUAGACCCGAAACCCGGUGAUCUAGCCAUGGGCAGGUUGAAGGUUGGGUAACACUAACUGGAGGACCGAACCGACUAAUGUUGAAAAAUUAGCGGAUGACUUGUGGCUGGGGGUGAAAGGCCAAUCAAACCGGGAGAUAGCUGGUUCUCCCCGAAAGCUAUUUAGGUAGCGCCUCGUGAAUUCAUCUCCGGGGGUAGAGCACUGUUUCGGCAAGGGGGUCAUCCCGACUUACCAACCCGAUGCAAACUGCGAAUACCGGAGAAUGUUAUCACGGGAGACACACGGCGGGUGCUAACGUCCGUCGUGAAGAGGGAAACAACCCAGACCGCCAGCUAAGGUCCCAAAGUCAUGGUUAAGUGGGAAACGAUGUGGGAAGGCCCAGACAGCCAGGAUGUUGGCUUAGAAGCAGCCAUCAUUUAAAGAAAGCGUAAUAGCUCACUGGUCGAGUCGGCCUGCGCGGAAGAUGUAACGGGGCUAAACCAUGCACCGAAGCUGCGGCAGCGACACUAUGUGUUGUUGGGUAGGGGAGCGUUCUGUAAGCCUGUGAAGGUGUGCUGUGAGGCAUGCUGGAGGUAUCAGAAGUGCGAAUGCUGACAUAAGUAACGAUAAAGCGGGUGAAAAGCCCGCUCGCCGGAAGACCAAGGGUUCCUGUCCAACGUUAAUCGGGGCAGGGUGAGUCGACCCCUAAGGCGAGGCCGAAAGGCGUAGUCGAUGGGAAACAGGUUAAUAUUCCUGUACUUGGUGUUACUGCGAAGGGGGGACGGAGAAGGCUAUGUUGGCCGGGCGACGGUUGUCCCGGUUUAAGCGUGUAGGCUGGUUUUCCAGGCAAAUCCGGAAAAUCAAGGCUGAGGCGUGAUGACGAGGCACUACGGUGCUGAAGCAACAAAUGCCCUGCUUCCAGGAAAAGCCUCUAAGCAUCAGGUAACAUCAAAUCGUACCCCAAACCGACACAGGUGGUCAGGUAGAGAAUACCAAGGCGCUUGAGAGAACUCGGGUGAAGGAACUAGGCAAAAUGGUGCCGUAACUUCGGGAGAAGGCACGCUGAUAUGUAGGUGAAGUCCCUCGCGGAUGGAGCUGAAAUCAGUCGAAGAUACCAGCUGGCUGCAACUGUUUAUUAAAAACACAGCACUGUGCAAACACGAAAGUGGACGUAUACGGUGUGACGCCUGCCCGGUGCCGGAAGGUUAAUUGAUGGGGUUAGCCGCAAGGCGAAGCUCUUGAUCGAAGCCCCGGUAAACGGCGGCCGUAACUAUAACGGUCCUAAGGUAGCGAAAUUCCUUGUCGGGUAAGUUCCGACCUGCACGAAUGGCGUAAUGAUGGCCAGGCUGUCUCCACCCGAGACUCAGUGAAAUUGAACUCGCUGUGAAGAUGCAGUGUACCCGCGGCAAGACGGAAAGACCCCGUGAACCUUUACUAUAGCUUGACACUGAACAUUGAGCCUUGAUGUGUAGGAUAGGUGGGAGGCUUAGAAGUGUGGACGCCAGUCUGCAUGGAGCCGACCUUGAAAUACCACCCUUUAAUGUUUGAUGUUCUAACGUUGACCCGUAAUCCGGGUUGCGGACAGUGUCUGGUGGGUAGUUUGACUGGGGCGGUCUCCUCCUAAAGAGUAACGGAGGAGCACGAAGGUUGGCUAAUCCUGGUCGGACAUCAGGAGGUUAGUGCAAUGGCAUAAGCCAGCUUGACUGCGAGCGUGACGGCGCGAGCAGGUGCGAAAGCAGGUCAUAGUGAUCCGGUGGUUCUGAAUGGAAGGGCCAUCGCUCAACGGAUAAAAGGUACUCCGGGGAUAACAGGCUGAUACCGCCCAAGAGUUCAUAUCGACGGCGGUGUUUGGCACCUCGAUGUCGGCUCAUCACAUCCUGGGGCUGAAGUAGGUCCCAAGGGUAUGGCUGUUCGCCAUUUAAAGUGGUACGCGAGCUGGGUUUAGAACGUCGUGAGACAGUUCGGUCCCUAUCUGCCGUGGGCGCUGGAGAACUGAGGGGGGCUGCUCCUAGUACGAGAGGACCGGAGUGGACGCAUCACUGGUGUUCGGGUUGUCAUGCCAAUGGCACUGCCCGGUAGCUAAAUGCGGAAGAGAUAAGUGCUGAAAGCAUCUAAGCACGAAACUUGCCCCGAGAUGAGUUCUCCCUGACUCCUUGA